rnacentral:rRNA from 1 species
UAACAAGGAUUCCCCUAGUAACUGCGAGUGAAGCGGGAAAAGCUCAAAUUUAAAAUCUGACGGUCUCUGAUCGUCCGAGUUGUAACCUGAAGGAGCGUUUUCAGUGCCGAACCGUGUACAAGUCUCCUGGAACGGAGCGUCAUAGAGGGUGAGAAUCCCGUCCAUGACACGGACGCCCGGUGCUUUGUGAUACGCUCCCGAAGAGUCGCGUUGUUUGGGAAUGCAGCGCAAAAUGGGUGGUAAAUUCCAUCUAAAGCUAAAUAUUGGCGAGAGACCGAUAGCGAACAAGUACCGUGAGGGAAAGAUGAAAAGCACUUUGGAAAGAGAGUUAAACAGUACGUGAAAUUGUUGAAAGGGAAACGCUUGAAGUCAGUCGCGUCUUGUGAAACUCAGCCUUGCUUCGGCCUGGUGUACUUUUCACUAAGACGGGUCAACAUCAAUUUCGACCGGUGGACAAAGGCGAGGGGAAUGUAGCGUCGUUUCGACGACGUGUUAUAGCCCCUUGUCAGAUACACCGACCGGGAUUGAGGACCGCAGCGCGCCCUUGUGGCCGAGGGUUCGCCCUACGUACCGCGCUUAGGAUGUUGGCAUAAUGGCUUUAAGCGACCCGUCUUGAAACACGGACCAAGGAGUCUAACAUGCUUGCGAGUGUUCGGGUGGAAAACCCUUGCGCGUAAUGAAAGUGAAAGUUGGGAGCCUCCGCAAGGGGGUGCACCGACGCCCGGCCCAGACGUUCUCUGACGGUGCUGCGGUAGAGCAAGUGUGUUGGGACCCGAAAGAUGGUGAACUAUGCCUGAAUAGGGCGAAGCCAGAGGAAACUCUGGUGGAGGCUCGUAGCGAUUCUGACGUGCAAAUCGAUCGUCAAAUUUGGG